ACGGGUGAGUAACACGUGAGCAACCUGCCCCUGACUCUGGGAUAAGCGCUGGAAACGGCGUCUAAUACUGGAUACGAACCACGAAGGCAUCUUCAGUGGUUGGAAAGAUUUAUUGGUUGGGGAUGGGCUCGCGGCCUAUCAGCUUGUUGGUGAGGUAAUGGCUCACCAAGGCGUCGACGGGUAGCCGGCCUGAGAGGGUGACCGGCCACACUGGGACUGAGACACGGCCCAGACUCCUACGGGAGGCAGCAGUGGGGAAUAUUGCACAAUGGGCGCAAGCCUGAUGCAGCAACGCCGCGUGAGGGAUGACGGCCUUCGGGUUGUAAACCUCUUUUAGCAGGGAAGAAGCGAAAGUGACGGUACCUGCAGAAAAAGCACCGGCUAACUACGUGCCAGCAGCCGCGGUAAUACGUAGGGUGCAAGCGUUAUCCGGAAUUAUUGGGCGUAAAGAGCUCGUAGGCGGUUUGUCGCGUCUGCUGUGAAAUCUGGGGGCUCAACCCCCAGCCUGCAGUGGGUACGGGCAGACUAGAGUGCGGUAGGGGAGAUUGGAAUUCCUGGUGUAGCGGUGGAAUGCGCAGA
rnacentral:rRNA from 1 species